AUGGAUCUGAACCCACAGGUGCUAUGCUGGAACAUUUGAGUCUUGAAUGAUCCGGCGAAGAGGAAGGAGGUGAGGGAAUUUGUGACAUCAGUGCGUGUGAACUUAGUGUGCCUACAAGAGACAAAACUAGAUGUAAUUGAUCGUUUCAGUGUUAUGCAAUGUUUAGGGCCGUCGUUUGACGACUUUGCCUACUUACCUGCGCUGGAAACGAGAGGGGGGUGCUCCUUGCUUGGGACACCACAAUCAUGGAGAUUAACAACAUUCAUCUUGACACUAAUUUUCUAA
rnacentral:rRNA from 1 species